rnacentral:lncRNA from 1 species
ACUUGUCCAGCUCCUGUCUUCAUUGUCCUCGCGCUGAGAGUUAAAGACACAGAAGCUGUUUGUGUGAGGAGUCACAGACCUGUGUGAGGAUGAGGAGGAGGUGUUCUUCUGAAGAGAGGGACAGACGGUUUAAGGAGAGUAAACUUCAGAAUAACAUCAAGUUAUCUUUAUUUUUACUAAGACUAAAAUAAUGUGUGUGUUUUUUUUAGAUGUUGAAAUCCAGAGACAAGAUAACUUCAUUCUUUUUAGACUGAUGUAAGUUAAAUUAUUAUUACUUUUUUUUUUUUUUGAAAAUUAAUGUUUCUGUUGUGUCCUGCCUGUUAACUUCACAUUUUGAUGCAAAAACAGUGUGAUUUUAUAUAUAUAUGUAUGUAUAUGUUAAUAUUUUAUUGAAACCAUUGAUGCCCCUCUUUGCAGAACUCAAACUAACUGCAGUUAAGGACACACAAGUCUGCUUGUGUGAGGAGGUGGUUUUCUCAGCUUCUUCUGAAGAGAGGGAAAUAUCGUUUAAGAUGUUAAAAGCAAGAGACAUGGGAGAUCAUCAUUCCCUUGAGAUUUUAUAA